UUUUAAUGUAGGUUAUAAUAUUUUAAACCUCAGUGAUUAUACCACUAAAAAACUAUUUUAAGGUCAUUAAAA
rnacentral:tRNA from 1 species